rnacentral:lncRNA from 1 species
CUGGCUUCCCACUCCGCUCUUGCUCAGGCUCCCGGAGCAGCACCGAACCAAUCUCCGCCAGCAGCUACUCCAGCUCCGGCCCCAAAGGCUGCGGCUCCAACUCCCUCAGUCAUGGCUCCACCACCAGCCACCACUCCAACUACUCCACCAACCGUAGCUCCAACCGUACCUCCAGCAAGUGCACCAACUUCUCCCACCAUCUCUCCUCCUGCUCCUCCCACCUCUCCCGCUUCAGCUCCAUCCACACCGGUCCCUCCCACACCAUCCAUUUCCAACCCUCCCGGUGAGGCUCCUGCCGUCACUCCCGGCAAUGGAGCUGCCUUGAACAGAAUCUCCGCCGCCGGAUCUUUCGCAGGAGCUGUCUUCGCCGCGGCCUUGUUGCUGUAGAUCUGACACG